UACGAAGGUCCCGAGCGUUGUUCGGAAUCACUGGGCGUAAAGGGAGCGUAGGCGGCGUGGUAAGUCAGAUGUGAAAUCCCGGGGCUCAACCCCGGAACUGCAUCCGAUACUGCCAUGCUAGAGUGAUGGAGAGGUAGCUGGAAUUCUUGGUGUAGAAGUGAAAUGCGUGGAGAUCAAGAGGAACACUCGUGGCGAAAGCGAGCGACUGGACAAGUACUGACGCUGAGGCGCGAAGGCCAGGGUAGCGAAAGGG
rnacentral:rRNA from 1 species